UACGAAGGGGACUAGCGUUGUUCGGAAUCACUGGGCGUAAAGCGCACGUAGGCGGAUUUGUAAGUCAGGGGUGAAAUCCCGGGGCUCGACCUCGGAACUGCCUUUGAUACUGCGAAUCUUGAGUCCGAUAGAGGUGGGUGGAAUUCCUAGUGUAGAGGUGAAAUUCGUAGAUAUUAGGAAGAACACCGGUGGCGAAGGCGGCCCACUGGAUCGGUACUGACGCUGAGGUGCGAAAGCGUGGGGAGCAAACAGG
rnacentral:rRNA from 1 species